GAUGAACGCUGGCGGCGUGCCUAAUACAUGCAAGUCGAGCGAACAGACGAGGAGCUUGCUCCUCUGACGUUAGCGGCGGACGGGUGAGUAACACGUGGAUAACCUACCUUUAAGACUGGGAUAACUUCGGGAAACCGGAGCUAAUACCGGAUAAUAUAUUGAACCGCAUGGUUCAAUAGUGAAAGACGGUUUUGCUGUCACUUAUAGAUGGAUCCGCGCCGCAUUAGCUAGUUGGUAAGGUAACGGCUUACCAAGGCAACGAUGCGUAGCCGACCUGAGGGGGUGAUCGGCCACACUGGAACUGAGACACGGUCCAGACUCCUACGGGAGGCAGCAGUAGGGAAUCUUCCGCAAUGGGCGAAAGCCUGACGGAGCAACGCCGCGUGAGUGAUGAAGGUCUUCGGAUCGUAAAACUCUGUUAUUAGGGAAGAACAAAUGUGUAAGUAACUAUGCACGUCUUGACGGUACCUAAUCAGAAAGCCACGGCUAACUACGUG
rnacentral:rRNA from 1 species